UUGUAACACCGGUUCCCUGUACGAUCAUCAAAGUUAAGCAACGUUGAGCCUGGUCAGUACCUAGAUGGGUGACCGCUUGGGAAUACCAAGUUUUGUA